GAAACUUGUGCUAGUCUAUCAGCUAAGAAGAAGCAGCUAGUAAAAACUCAAUAUCAAGCUUGCUAAUUUGAGAUUAACUUUAAGGAGAAAAUCAAGAAACUUCAAGACCAAUAGGAAGUUUGAAGAAAAGGCUGAAAGAUGAACAAAAUUGUGUCAAGCAUCUAGAGGUUACUCUCCAUCAGCGCUAGAGUGAACUGGACCAAAGGUUUGAUGAGAUUUAUGGGUUGAAGGAUCAAGCACACAAAGAUCUG
rnacentral:lncRNA from 1 species